rnacentral:rRNA from 1 species
UACGUAGGGGGCAAGCGUUAUCCGGAUUUACUGGGUGUAAAGGGGAGCGUAGACGGUUGUAUAAGUCUGGAGUGAAAGCCCGGGGCCCAACCCCGGGACUGCUUUGGAACUGUGUAACUUGAGUACAGGAGGGGCAGGCGGAAGUUCCUGGUGUAGCGGUGAAAUGCGUAGAGUAUUAGGAGGAACACCAGUGGCGGAAGGCGGCCUGCUGGACGAGUGGACUGACGUUGAGGCUCGGAAAGC